CGCCGGCCGUUAACGCCGCGCCGCGUCACGUCCCGCGUGGCCGCCCGCCGCACCUCCGCCGGUGGUGAAAACGCUUAAAGAAACUGUGGCAGCUUUGCACGGAAAGGGUCCGCGUCUCGAAACGUGCCGCGGAAACAGAAAUGUCUGAGUGACGCAGUAACCGAGCGGCGCCACCCGCGGUCGGCUGCGUCCGGCGGAGCGACGGAGGGAGCGGACGAAAGCAGAUUUCCAACGGACUGUUCUCAAAGGGAGGGACUGACGGAGGUUUGCUGGGCUGCACUCGGACCGAUGAUUAAUUAGAACGAGGAACAGCACUCCAGCGGGAAUAGGGGAAAGACCUGUAUGUAAAAGGGGACUGCAAACUACGUAGGCCGUAUGUAAAACCACCGCCACUAAAUUGCCUUUUAGUUUUCAGUAGUUCCAUUGAAGAGUGCCAGCAUAUCCACAUCGCUGCUUUUUAAGUUACCUUCCACGUAAGCACCAGACCUCUGUGCUGCGGUUCACCUGCCAGAUAAAUGGGUUGUGAGCCAGGUGUGAGCACGACCGCACUCGUUUUGAAUCACCCAUGGUGCUGUUUUUAUGCUGCCCUUUGGCUUUUUGCUGGCUGCGGGAAGGCCGGUGAUACCUGAUCUGGGUGAGGUAUGCUGGGACAAGUUCACCUCUUCCAUAAACUCUAAAGCAAAUUUGAAUCAGCAGAGCGUGUACCGGGUCAGUGCGUUGCAUCACGUUUCCCCGGCCCCUUGAUCCGGUGUUUGGUGUCCCAAAAGGAAUGCAACAUCUCCAGCCAGGAGAUACGUAGCACAAACAGAUGAGGGCGCUGCACCACCCAGCUGCUCCCCAGCGCUGCCCUACCCGGGCUGCUGCCCCUCCAGGGUCCAGCAGAGUGCAUGGCUGCUCCCUCAGACUGACCGUGCUGAGCCGGUGAUGAUCUGCAGCUGAGUGCUCAGUUAGCACUGCCCGCAUGGAGCAAAGCAGGAUGAGGGCUGCUGCCACGGGGUACUGAGCUGCGAGGUGGGAGGAGAGCCCUGUGAGGACGGUCAUAGCCACACUGCUGCACACAGGAGAUCUGCAGCCACAUCAGUCUGCGUGUGCCGGUGCUGCUGUGCUGUUACUGAGACAAACUCACCUUGCACAGAUCUGACGUGCCUGUUAAAUGAUGCUUACCAAACCCAACAGAAACGUUCGUGUCACAACAAACAAUUAGCUUGUUGUGGCAGCACACGAGCAAGCAUUCUCAGCUACUCAUUUAUAACUUCAAAAAGCAUCAUCCUAGGAGGAUGAGAAAACACCGUGUGGCUUUCAGAGGGAGCUGGUUUAGGUUCUGAAAGAUGUGUAUCUGAAAGUCUGUAUGCAAAUAGAAGCGCAGUGUUAGGACUGGGUGUUCUCUGCACACCUGUUGGCAUCAGGACUAUUUCUGCAGCUUUAAGUUACUUAUAUCUGAGAGUAAAGGGUUAUAGAAGAUACGUCCAGCAGUGAAUUGUCCUUUUAGGUUCUGCAAACCAACCUCCAGAGUGAGCUCUCUGUAAGUUUUGCUGUCGUUGUGUAAGAUCAGACUUGCAGAUUAGUUUUAAGAAGUGCAAUAAAGAGAACGUAUUUGAUUUAAAAUGUAGUUUCGGUGUUUUUUUUUUUAACUGUAGCUGUGACUUCUGUGCAAGAGAAGAGGAACUUGCCUCACCUGUGAGCCCACAGGGCCAGUCCUGCUGGAAUAACCACAUGGCUCUGCGAUGUCGCAGUUUCACAGCUCGGUGUCAUUGGUGCUGUUUUUGAGUUACACACAAAGCAUCCUGCUGCUUCCAGGAGAAGCAUUUCCUUCCCCUCUCAUCUGAGACACAGAUGGAAAAGAAGAGGCCGUGUCCUCUUGCAACAAGGCACAGCUGAACACAGGGUGCUGCUGGACCCAAUGAAGCGCAGCUGCGGAGCUCUGCAGACCCAGCAGGCUGGAAUGGGGCCAGGAGGUGCUGCCCUCCAUAGAUGCUGUACUUCAUGGAGGUGCUGCCCUGCACAGAGCUCAGCUGGGCUGCAUCAGCCUCAUCCCCUCCUUGGGAUGCCUUCCUCCCCGUGCGCCUUCUUCUGGUCCAGGGGGGAAGCGCCACAUUUGUAUGCAAUGUGCAAGAGCGCCUCAGCAAUUAAAUUGGAUUCUAAUUAUUGUAUAUCACAUAUUAGCAAUUUCUACCAUGCUAAUAUUAAUUGCUAACAAGACGAUAAGGUGUAUCAGGUAAUCAUGACGGAGCAUUGCCUUUGCUUGCCUGGCAGAGAUGUGUGGUGAUGAAGCACUGGGAAUCUGGUGCAGAAUUUGCUGCAGACGUGACUGUCUGUUGGCAGAAGGUGAAGGCUUCCCCUGCUCCGGGGUGUUUGCAUGGCUCCCAUUGCACAUAUGGAAAGCCCAGCUUAUGGGGCUGGCUCUGAACUCACCCAGCAGUGCAGUGGUGACUUAAUGUCCAGUCUCAUAGUGAGGUGUUGGUGUCCCAGGGGUUAUUUGUCUCUUCUGAAAAGAAAGCCCUGUGUGAGUCAGGCAGUCUGCACUAUGAACAGUGAUACAUUACAUUUGGACAUAUGCUAAAUGAAAUGAC
ensembl:lncRNA